AAGUCGUAACAAGGUAUCCGUAGGUGAACCUGCGGAUGGAUCAUUAACGAUACGUGUCUUUUUUUCACAAAAAAGCACGUCAUACCAACCAAACCUGUGCGAGGAGAAUGUUGCUCAAUGCUGGAACUUGAGUGUGAAGGCAAAAGGCGCAUUCUCCGUUUCUUUCUAUUUCUUUUUCUUUUACAAACCUAAAAACCCCAUUUCUUCGUUUUCGAAGGACUGAAACCACACUGUUUCAAAUCGAAAGUAAGCGUCAGGAUGCAUACAUCUCGUUUCUAUUAGACUUCGGUCAAACGGACGGGUUGCAUUUCUUUGACACUUCGAUUAGAUAUGAAAUCCUGUACAACUCUUAGCAACGGAUAUCUUGGUUCUC
rnacentral:misc_RNA from 1 species